GCGGGAUUAGUACAGUGGUAGUAUGUGACCUUCCCAAGGUUAAGGCGCGAGUUCGAUUCUCGUAUCCCGCUCAA
rnacentral:tRNA from 1 species